CCUCGGCAUGCCUAGCUACGAGCGUAGUGAGCGGCAAGAGCUCAAAUUUGAAAUCUGGCUCCUCCGGGGUCCGAGUUGUAAUUUGCAGAGGAUGCUUCGGGUGCGGUCCCCGUCUAAGUACCCUGGAAUGGGUCGUCAUAGAGGGUGAGAAUCCCGUCUGGGACGGGUGGCCGUGUCCGUGUGAAGCUCCUUCGACGAGUCGAGUUGUUUGGGAAUGCAGCUCUAAAUGGGUGGUAAAUUUCAUCUAAAGCUAAAUAUUGGCCGGAGACCGAUAGCGCACAAGUAGAGUGAUCGAAAGAUGAAAAGCACUUUGAAAAGAGAGUUAAACAGCACGUGAAAUUGUUGAAAGGGAAGCGCUUGCGACCAGACUCGCCCGCGGGGGUUCAGCCGGUACUCGUACCGGUGUACUCCCCCGUGGGCGGGCCAGCGUCGGUUUGGGCGGCCGGUCAAAGGCCUCCGGAAUGUAUCGCCCUUCGGGGCGUCUUAUAGCCGGGGGUGCAAUGCGGCCAGCCUGGACCGAGGAACGCGCUUCGGCUCGGACGCUGGCGUAAUGGUCGUAAGCGGCCCGUCUUGAAACAACGGACCAA
rnacentral:rRNA from 1 species